ensembl:miRNA oni-mir-10616b oni-mir-10616b
AACAGCCAGUCUCUAAAACAAAGGAUAAUAUAUAGGUUUGCCUUUUUGCUUUAGAGACUGGCUGUUCU